rnacentral:misc_RNA from 1 species
AACGCAGGAGGCGAGCGUUGUCCGGAUUUAUUGGGCGUAAAGCGAGCGCAGGCGGUCUUUUAAGUCUGAUGUGAAAGCCCACGGCUCAACCGUGGAGGGUCAUUGGAAACUGGAAGACUUGAAUGCAGAAGAGGAGAGUGGAAUUCCACGUGUAGCGGUGAAAUGCGUAGAUAUGUGGAGGAACACCAGUGGCGAAGGCGACUCUCUGGUCUGUAACUGACGCUGAGGCGCGAAAGCGUGGGGAGCAAACAGG